rnacentral:lncRNA from 1 species
UACAACUCAGUGCUGCUUUACCACUUGCCCUUCAUGGUCCACUGCAAAACAACUGAGAAAGAAUGAGAAAUUUUGCUGGUAUCUCAACUUCCCAGGUGGAGACUGAAAGUGCAGAGAUUUUUCCUAGCAAGGCAAUUUCAGUGUCAGCUUCAAUCCAUGUUUCAAAAUUCCUCCCGUUUGUGGACAAAUCCUCACUCCAGGUGUGAAAACUCGGUGACAUCUUGUCAGAAAACGCAUCCUUCAUUCCCCCACUUAGCAUUACGUUUAAGCAUGAGAAGACAGA